UAUACAUGGCACAAAACAAUAAAUGAAAUAGCAUUAGUACAACCAGAAGGCAUGUUAAAAUAGACGUUUGUUGUAUUUGCAUGAUAAAAUCUGUUACUUCAUGCACUUUUGCUUACACUAUUGAGUAAUUGUUGCUUGCCAGCACACUGCAAACCUGGGCAUUGUCACUUACUGACAUUUCACUGAGUUGGCUAAAAAAUUACUCAGUGCCCUGAUGUUGUUGGGAAAAAUUACCAAAGUAUUCAAGGUAUUAUCAGCUUCAUCCUGCGUGAUUGCCACUUGUUCUGGUAGCUCUUUGGCAGUGUCUUCACUAUCUCUAUCAGCCUGUAGAGGCACCUCGAAGACUCAUCCAACUAUUUUUCUAUAGUGUCAGCCACCAUCCUUCUUGGCUCACCCUCGCAUGCUUUCACUAGCACCCGAAGCAUACAGCACAGGAGGCAAUAGGCUCUUAUCGCACUUGUAUUUUAUACGGAAAAUGACGCUGCUCUAUUUUGAAAGUCGCUAUUGGUGGCACUGCGCACAAUUUGAGAGGUGUGUUCGCAAGCAGCUGCUUGUAAUUGAACCAUUUGAUCAUCUGCACCCGAGGAAGUUUCCAUUUAUUGUCUUGGUAUGCCUUUGGGACGGCAGUGAAAUUUCGUUAUAUUGAAAUUGUGUAUAAACGCACUUAUUUAUAUUGGGAUUCUAAAUACAUGGUGUUCUUAUGAAAAGAAGUUAUAGAAAGUUAAAUACUUUGUGGUAUCGAGAAUUUCAUUAUAGUGAAGUUCUCUAUAUGGAGGUUUAACUGUACUACGUAAUGAAAUUUUUAACUGAUCAAUUACUUCGAAAAGGAGCAAGAGACUUGUCUUUGUGAUAUAUCUAUAUGAGCUUUAGCUUCUUUAGCUUCAUAAUGUUGUGAUUCUGCCAUGUUGCCAGCCAAUCACUGAGAAAUUGUGAAAAAGAGGAGAGGUAGAGUUGCGUUAUCAACUUGGUUGAUUUCGGUGUCAUACUGAAAGAGUUCCUGCUUGAUUUCAAGCUCGAGUACGCUUCGGUACUUGAGCUUGAAAUCAUGGGAGGACGCCAUGUUUGACUGACUGAUGCAGACCAACGAAUUAAUUCGAAGGCUUGAUAUUCAGACCUUGCUAGGCUGCAGAGAUGACCUAAACAAAAGGUAGAGAGAGACCACUGUCAGAUAUUUGGUUAUAGCGAAGUUGUAAAACUUUUUGAUCUCCCCUUGUAUGUCAUUAGUUUCAGUGUAGCUGCUAUAGUUCUUGAGUUAUGUCCUACACAAUGGCAAAAUAGAGUGAUUUUGUGGGCACUUUAUUGUGUAAUAAGUUUUCGUAACAAGCCUUGUGCUGUAGCUUAUUUAAGUGCCGAUAUCUAUUCAAAUAGCAUCUACAGGAGAAAAAAAUUAGGACACUUCAACAAAUUUUUUUCGCAGUCACAUGAAGAUAACGUUCACGAGGGUUGCAAUGUGGGCUUGUUGGUAAUGCAUCUUCAAGGGCUGUACGAUAGCGCGAUCAAAAGACAGGACAAAAGAAGACACACAGGGACACAUACAGCACUAACUUCCAACAAUGUUUAUUAUUAAAAACCAGAUCGUACUUAUACACUCAGCCAACAUGAGUCACAGCCACGUGAACAGAUAAACAAUUAGAGCGAAACAUUUUUAUAAGUGAUAUGUGAAGCCAUGCACAAAAAUUUCAGUUCUUUUUCAGAGUGAGGCAAUGACGGUUUGCUGAUACAGGAAUCUCCUAGGGCAUCAAUCUGCUCGGCUUCUAUCAUAAGUCUCAGUUCGCGCUUAUUUCUACCAGUAAUGGUCGUUGAUUCAAAGAGAGGGGAGCACUUAUGUUGCUUACAAUGAAGGGAGAGAAACCCAUCUGAUGCAACUUUGUCGACUUUAUUUUUGCGUUCGCGCAGUGUACCUUUAAUACUUUCGACGUAAUACUUUUCACACGAUAAGCGUAUGCGAUAUAUAAUUUAUGUCUUACAAUCUCUGAACUUCUUCCUGUGUUUAACAUGGCAGCUAGGAGCACUUUCUUUCUUUUCUGGUCUUGUUUUCCUGCACAAGUUGAUUAGUUUGUUAGGUGUAGAAAAAAACCACAUCAGUGUUACCUCGGCGGGCAAUUUUCUUUAGGUUGUGAGACAGCUGGUGAAUACUAUAAGGUAUCACUGUUGGUCGUUUUUUCUCAUGGUUACUAUUUCUUUCCGCACGUUCAGGAGUCCCAGAUUGCUGCACUUGUCUAAGUAUUCCCUCUACAAUUGAUUCCAGAACAUCACUGGGUAACCUGCUUCAUGUAAUCACAUGGCCUGUUGUAUGAACGCUUCGACAGUGCAAUGAUGGCAUGAUUUAGCUGGCGCAAGUGGUGCUAUGUAAUGGACGGCCAUUUAAAACGAAACUAUAACAGUGACUACUUGGCAACGCCCAGUUUCAAAGGGGAUGUCAGUAUAUUAUCAUCAUCUAUCAUCAUCAGCAGCAGCAGCAGCAGCAGAGCAGCAUCGUAUCAUGCCACUUGUCAGGCGAUCAUAACCCUGAAGUCCUUCUACAAAUAAAAGGAAAAGACUCGCACUCUGCUUUCAAGCUCCUUAUUGCUCUCAUCUUCGCAUUCCACAUGGAAGAAUACAACAGAGAGCACUAACUGUGCUUAGAUUCUGCAUUAAAUGCAAUACGGCAUCACGCAUCGAGAGGGUCAUCAGGGGGCACCACUGCAUUCACUUGGUAGCAGUGCAGGCUGCUUCAGCAUGGGUCACCACCAGGACACUAUGAGUGGAAUACAGCACUUGGUACCCAUGGCAAUAUGACCCAGACAAGAAACUUGAUUUACUAUCACUGCACUAAUAAUGUCACAUGGCAAGUGUGUGUGUGGAUUGUACACACAUAAAGCUGAUACCCAAAAUGCAAUGAAAUAUAGGAACAUGCAACAUUGCUCAUUUGGUAAAGCAAGAAUGAGUGAGCAAGAAAUAUGAGAGCUUUGCAGGCAUGACUACACAAAACAUUGUUAUUGGAAUGAACAAGAAACCAGCGAAUAGAAACUUACACAAAAAAAUUGAACUGAAUGAGCGCUGGACUUCUUCCCUCCAUUUUUUUUCCAUUGUGUAAGCACCUCUUUGCCGAUUCCCUGUUCAUUCACAAGCACAUACCAACUCGCACAACAAGAAACGCUACUGCUCAUGGAAUUUCUUUGCUGUUUUGUGACCUCAACAUGCUAAAGAAACUUAGACUGUGAGUGAGGUGGGGAGGGGGAAACGACUGGAAUAAACACCGAAAGAUUAGGAAGGCAGCAUAACCACGGGGGCAAACUAUAAAAUGAACAACAUAAACGCUAAGUGCAGAAACAUCUUAACUUGCAAGAGCGCAGAUUAUGCAUUUUGGAGGAAAGAAACACGUAAUUGAAAGACCUCAAACAGACAUUUUUUUUUAUUUGAUGACUUGCCUCUAAUAUGCAUAUCCUUUUGUGUCAAAAAACUUCCAAGGCACCAAAUAAGCAGCUGCAACCAUUACUUGGCCGCACGAUGGGUCUCUCAUAGCACCCAUGGCACACCGAACUUCCAGAGACACAGUUUAACUAGCAGUUAUUUAUCAUGGACUCCGAGCUGUUCACAGGUGGUAUGGUUUUGAAGGCUCCAUGAGAAGACAGUGCUGUUUGGCCUGAACUUAAUGACAUCGGAGCAUACGUAGAGUAAGACAUUCAGCACUGUGGUGGUGAGUGCAAUAUACUCUGUUGGUGGAGCUCUCCAGGAUAUCAGAGCCUACUUCCACAAGGCUUUGGGAAAGACAGAAUCCUGUACUUUCCCAGACAAUUAGAAAAACUUGGUGGGUGAUGCCUACCAAAAGGUGUAUAUAUGGGGUGGUCUUCCCAGACUUGCUUCUCUGGGCACUCUCGCAGGCCUAAGAGUACGCACAAGUCGCACGUUGAAUUCCACUGGUCAAUCUGGAUUAGUCCACUAAAUCUUAUAGCAAUCCUUUGGGCUUCACAAAUCUGAAUGCGCCAGAGAAAAACAAACCACUCUGUACUAGGCUGUCGAGGAAGGUACAACAUGUGGUCUGUUCCAGAAACACCAACUGCCGCUUUGUCUAUGUGUCUGUGAUCAUCAAAACAUCAGGGCGGUUUCUAUGCCAAUACUUCGGUCAUCUGCUCUACUUGUAAUACAGUCCAACCUUGAUCUAGUAAACACGGAUAUGAAGCGUUUAAUGAAUAUAUGCUUAUAACAAAUAUGGGAUAAAGUGAAUGUAUUCUUGUGUUGGAUGCAACUUCAUUAUUGGCCGCGAGAUCAAGCAGAGUCGCCACCUGGUUGGCACUGGCAAAACCAUGGAUAAUGUGGAUUACACCACGUUUCGUCUGUUAGGCCCUAGGUGGCGUGAAUAUCGUUAAAUGCUGUUUCUUUAGGCAUUGUAGAACAGUUGCAAAUGCUGGUGUGCAUAUUUUGACAGUGUUCAAAAGCAUUUAGUCUUGCGCUGACGUCUUUAUGCUGUAGUAAGAACAGUGACUGCCUGUGUCAAGCACAUGAUGUGCGAUUGUCACACCCUUCACUUACUACAAGCAUAUCAAUUUUAUUAUCGGUUGGUGUUUUGAUUACAUCACAAAAAUAAUUUUAGCUCGUUUUAAACAAAUAAAAUGCCAGCAGCGAGACGUGAAUGCCACGUUUUAUGAACUUGUCAUGAUGUAUUGAUCACUCUGCAAUCUCUAUGAUACCAUGAAACAUGAACGGGGUGGCGUAACAUCAAUCAGCAGCAGAAAAAAAAGGAAUAUUAUGCAUGUGUCAUAUAUAAAUUCCUAUGCUUCAUAUUACAACAAAUGCAUUGCAAUAAUUGCAAGGCUGUCGCUUAACGGUUACGCAACCAGAGGUGUUCUUUUAAUAUGUGGUUCUGAUGCAACUAUGGUGAAUUCAUAUUGCCUUGACAUUAAAUCGUGGGUUUUUGUACUUCGAUUCGCUACUACAAAAUGAAAGCUAAACUAGGGUGUUAUAUGAGGAUCGUGUGAUGCAGCACUCUAUAGACACAGAAUGUCAUCACACAGAGCUGAAAGGUGGCUAUUAUAAUUUCCUUUCGCUAGUCAUUGUAGCAUCGUUAGCUUCACAAAAGACUGGUCACUAUCAGCUGAAAUAAAACAACCUGAUGAUUUUAGCUCCUCAAGUAAUUAUAAAUUUGCAGCAUCGCUGUCGAGUGCAAAACCGUGCGAGCACGAUAAAAAAAUUGUCUGAAGAAACCUGAUCAUCCUACUAGCGUACUGCCACUUACAGUGGCCUGCUUGCUUAGCUGAACUCUAGCUCUAGCUGAACUGCUAAAAAAAAAAAAAAAAAAAGAAAAGAAAGGAAACAGAUAUGUACAUGUACAUUUCGUGAUUUAGAGUGUGCAUUAACUUGCUACUUCACCUUUGUUGUACAGGAAUAUAACUUUUUAUACCCCUGCAAGAUUCGCAGAGAAUGCUGUAUUAAAUAACUUCCACAUGCAACAAUGUUAACAGACUAUGUGGAACGCAAGCGAAGUAUACACAAAAAGCCCUAAGAAAGUGCCAAAACAAUGACUGUGUGACUGAGUGCCAGUCCCUUUUUCAGGGCAGUUUGCACUGCUUUUAAGUAAACAAGAUGGCGCUGGGCAUUUUGUGCAAGAAUGUGGCAUUGGAGGGCAAUAUAAGAUCAGUUUACUGCAGUCAGCACGUAUCAUUACCGGCAAAUUUGGCCAAAUAGUUCACAGUGGAAUGCGGCCACAUACCUUUCAAUGUGUGCCGUCGACCGCCUGUCCCCACUAAUGCGGCAACAGUUGCUGCCUCCUGUAGUUUCAUCUUAUGGCAAAUAGCAAGGUUCUAUUGCACUAAGUUAUACUGGGUGUUUGCACCGAUUCAGAAAGCCUCUUUUUUUUGUCAUAUGUGCCCUAGAGAAGUGUUAUCACACAAAAUUUUACAAGCGAGAGGAAGCUAUACUUAAUUGAUUUCACUUAUUCCUGUAAUUUUGUCUUUUAAAUUAUAGUGGCUAGUGCAAGCUUGCCAAUAUAGAUCUAAAGCAAUGAUUGAUGAAUAAUGUGCAGUCAAAUCUCGUCAAUUCGAACACGCUUAAUUCGAACAUUCGGUUUAUUCGAACUGACGCUGUGGUCUUGUCAAAGUUAUGUGUAUUCCAAUAGGUGAAAACGCCCGGUAAUCCGAACGUGUAAGCAUUUGCAACGGUUAAUUUGAACAUACUGUGCUCCGACAAUGUUCUUAGCAGUGUGCCAAAUCACGUGGCGGCGCCUCCGACCAGCAUUCCGCUGACCCCGCCAUAGAGGAAGAGCUUAGGAGAGACUCCUCAACGUCGCGCAGAAAAUAAAUAAAUAAGUAAAUAAAUAAUAAUAAAAAACGCGGUGAAAACUUGUGUGCAGGCACGCAUAACCAAUUACUUCUGUUAGUGACUUAAGUUAGUGUUGCCGCACUGCCAUGUACCCCAUA